rnacentral:tRNA from 1 species
AGUUAAUGAACUUGAUAUAAGUAUAUGUUUUGAAAACAUAAAAAAGAGGCAAAUUCCUCUAUUAACUU